rnacentral:rRNA from 1 species
AUUGAACGCUGGCGACAGGCCUAACACAUGCAAGUCGAACGGUAACAGGAAGAAGCUUGCUUCUUUGCUGACGAGUGGCGGACGGGUGAGUAAUGUCUGGGAAACUGCCUGAUGGAGGGGGAUAACUACUGGAAACGGUAGCUAAUACCGCAUAACGUCGCAAGACCAAAAAGGGGGACCUUCGGGCCUCUUGCCAUCGGAUGUGCCCAGAUGGGAUUAGCUAGUAGGUGGGGUAACGGCUCACCUAGGCGACGAUCCCUAGCUGGUCUGAGAGGAUGACCAGCCACACUGGAACUGAGACACGGUCCAGACUCCUACGGGAGGCAGCAGUGGGGAAUAUUGCACAAUGGGCGCAAGCCUGAUGCAGCCAUGCCGCGUGUAUGAAGAAGGCCUUCGGGUUGUAAAGUACUUUCAGCGGGGAGGAAGGGAGUAAAGUUAAUACCUUUGCUCAUUGACGUUACCCGCAGAAGAAGCACCGGCUAACUCCGUG